UUCAUCUGGAUGCAUGGACGAAAUGAAAAAACGAACAACACCUAGAUGGAGCAUCUGGAUAAGACAUCUAAAUGGACCAUCUGGAUGCAUCUUCCAGAUAUACAAACGAACAGGGCUUUACUCUUAUAUUAUCCUUUGAUAAUAUUAUUCAGGUGAGGCUGAAGCAAUACUUGCUAGAUCACAAGCAACUGUUAGAGGCCUUGCCAUGUUAUCUCAGUCUCUCAAAGAAACUGGGGGAGUUGAGGCUGUGAGUUUGAGAUUUGCAGAGCAAUACAUUCAAGCAUUCAGUAACAUUGCCAAGGAGGGUACGACAAUGUUGCUUCCAAGGUCCACAGAGAGAUGACCAAGAGACAUCAGGAGUGGAAGGUGACUGGGAAGACAUAGAUGAGAAAGAUAUAUCAGAAGGGUCUAAAAACCGAUCAGGCUCAACAAUAUUCGAAACAGAGAAACCAGGCCAGACCAGCGAACCAGUAUUUUCUCUUCAGAGUCGCAACAAGGAGCCAUAGUAGCCAACCAAACCGAGAAUCAGAUGAUUCUAUGUGCCUGAGAGAACAAAAAAUCCAUCUUUUCCAGUUUUCAGAAAAAAUGAGACACUAUCGUCUUCCCUGUUUUGAGCGGCAUGAAUAUCAUAUUCCAUUUUGCAAAUAGAAAACAUAUCUAAACAUCUAUUCUCUGAAAGUGUUUUUCCCAAGUGAUCUUGUCUGAACAUUUACCUCCGUAAGUCUGGUUAUCUGUGACUCAUAACUUUGUUAAGUCUGGAAAUUUCCAGCGGGAAAAGAAAUUGUUGUCCCUUGACCGAACAGAUAAGAACAGUGUAGAAAAAUGAUUGUCCACUGGGUAAAUCGAACGUGACAGAUAUUUGAAUAUGUCAUGACUGUCUUUACAUGAAAUAUCUUAGUCCAUAUACGAUCUCCUAUAUUUAUCUCUUCACAGGCAGGCCCGGCGUGAAAAACAGGUGGGCCAUGUAACAUAUAAAUUUUUUUCUUAUCUUAAUAGAUGAUUUUUCAAAUUGGACCUAUAAUUUAACAUAAUGUUAAAAUUUAGGGCCCUAAAACUGCAAAGAAAUUUUAAUUAAAAAGUGGGACCUGGUGCAUUUGCACCCUUAGCACUACCCCAAAGCCGGCACUGUUCACAGGCCUCUCCAUUUGCUAAGCCUCCAAAUUAUAUAAAGCAAGAACUUAGUUUGGCAUCUCUUAUUGUGUCAAUGGUGGUUAUCAAAAGGCAGCGUUGAUGAACCUUUGCAUAUUUAAGAUGUUCAAAACAAAAUGCAUCAGUUCAUGUUUUACCUAAAAACGUGGAACUCACGUAUGCAUUGCAAAACAUCCACUCUGUAUACAUGCAUUUUGGAAACCUUAUUUCUGUAUAAAUCUAAGUGAACCAUUUAGUUCUAAAUGGAUAUUUUUAAUUAUUAACAAGGCUCCAUGUAUGAUAUAACCCACGCACAACGACCAACAAUAAUAUCAAACCUUGACGAUAUGACAAUUAAUGCCAUAUAAAUACAACCUCGGCUAACAACUACAAUUACAACACAUAACAACCACAAUACAAAAACGAUAUAAAUCACUCUUCAAUCCCUGUCUCAGACCUCUUAAUAUACAAAACUCAGGAGAUCACCUUCAAACACAGGUAAAUUCCUCCCUCUCAGAUAUCAACGAGGCAACAACAAUAUUCACAACGCGGGGGCUCUGCUCCAAGUAAUCAAAAUGGUAAAGUCAUUGUUUGAGCAACAGAGAUGAUUUUCUUUUUAUUCAGCUUUUCCUCCAGAGUGUCAAACAAAGAUAUGUACUAUUGAAACAAUACGUUUGAUAACUUCCAAAUGGACAAGGAUUCGAGACAAGUAAAUAAGCAAUUAUUGAUUGUUUCUGAUUCAAAGGCCACACCGCUGACAAAGAGGGUCCAAAGCCCAAAGGGAAAUCUG